rnacentral:rRNA from 1 species
AACGUAGGAGACAAACGUUAUCCGGAAUUACUGGGCGUAAAGCGCGCGUAGGUGGUUCGUUAAGUUGGAUGUGAAAUCCCCGGGCUCAACCUGGGAACUGCAUUCAAAACUGUCGAGCUAGAGUAUGGUAGAGGGUGGUGGAAUUUCCUGUGUAGCGGUGAAAUGCGUAGAUAUAGGAAGGAACACCGGUGGCGAAGGCGGCUUCCUGGACCGACACUGACGCUGAGGCGCGAAAGCUAGGGGAGCAAACGGG